rnacentral:rRNA from 1 species
AUUGAACGCUGGCGGCAGGCCUAACACAUGCAAGUCGAGCGGAUGAAGGGAGCUUGCUCCUGGAUUCAGCGGCGGACGGGUGAGUAAUGCCUAGGAAUCUGCCUGGUAGUGGGGGAUAACGUCCGGAAACGGGCGCUAAUACCGCAUACGUCCUGAGGGAGAAAGUGGGGGAUCUUCGGACCUCACGCUAUCAGAUGAGCCUAGGUCGGAUUAGCUAGUUGGUGGGGUAAAGGCCUACCAAGGCGACGAUCCGUAACUGGUCUGAGAGGAUGAUCAGUCACACUGGAACUGAGACACGGUCCAGACUCCUGCGGGAGGCAGCAGUGGGGAAUAUUGGACAAUGGGCGAAAGCCUGAUCCAGCCAUGCCGCGUGUGUGAAGAAGGUCUUCGGAUUGGAAAGCACUUUAAGUUGGGAGGAAGGGCAGUAAGUUAAUACCUUGCUGUAUUGACGGUACCAACAGAAUAAGCACCGGCUAACUUCGUG